rnacentral:rRNA from 1 species
GAUGAACGCUAGCGGCAGGCCUAACACAUGCAAGUCGAGGGGCAGCAUAAUAAAAGCUUGCUUUUAUGGUGGCGACCGGCGCACGGGUGCGUAACGCGUAUGCAAUCUACCUUGUACUAAGGUAUAGCCCGAAGAAAUUCGGAUUAAUCCCUUAUAGUAUUAUCGUUUCGCAUGUUAUGAUAAUUAAAGGUUACGGUACA